AAAUGUGACACUUGCCGCCUUUAGAUAUGGUCACAUCAGGAUGUAAUGGUUCUUGCAACAGAGAAGGAGACAAAUGCAUCACACAAAAUCACACCGUGAGGGUAGAGGAGCACACAGGGAAGCACUGUGGUUGUACAGAUGCAGAGAAGAGGAGGUCAACAUUGACUGAGCCUCCAAUGAAACGAAUUUGUUACACCCUGCCCAACAAGUUAUACCCCUACACCAACAAGGAUCCAGAUCCUUGGAAGGUGCACACAGAAUCCUCCUCAUUUGCAUCAAUGCAUUGAUCUAUAUCUAAGGGAAGUAUUUAUCUAGAAAUGAUCACCCAAUUCCCACCAAUUUUCUGAAGCUGGACAUUAAUGCUCUCACUUACAUUUUAAGUCAAAUGUGGGAGUGUGUUGCAGUAGUAUUAAAACCUCUGUCAGAGUAUCACAGGUAUCGAUGAGAAGAUUUUACAUUGAUUUUCCUUUGUGAAGUAAAUUGGUUGUUUUCCUUUUCAAAUGAAACCAGGUAAAAGUCAGCAUUGCCUUAAUUUGGUAGAGUCACAACAUAAAUUCUUCCCCAACACAGUCUUUCCUAAGUCCUCAUCAUUUCCUCCUAUUCUGAAUCUAAUCAAGUUCAUCCAUUGACAAAUGAUGUCCAUGCUCUACUGAAAGUUCAAAGUUGGCUUGUAAUUUUUACAAACUUCAAAGCAGAAAGUACCUAUUCUUUGGAACUCGAUAGAUGUAGGGUUAAAUCCCUGCUCUUUUACAGUCAGUAGUUGCUUAAUUUCUUUAAGGCUGUUUCUUCAUCUGAAGACUGGAGAUAAACUGCCUACCUAGUAGGGUCAAGUGAGGAUUAAAUGAGAUAAUGUACAUAAUGCAUGAGCACCCUGCUUAACAAUGAACAGAAUAGCUUAAGGAAGCUUAUGGUAGCUCCUACUAUUUUUUUCUUUCUUGCAUGACUUUAAGUGAGCUCUUUAACUUUGCUAGAUUUUUACCUUUUAAAACUCAGAGUUGUAGAAAUGAAAUGAGAUACACGAGUAUAACUAUUUUUUGGAAUGGGUUAAACUCUGUACAUGUAAUCAUAAACAAGCCUUAUUCAUUCUCACCAUUGCCUCUUUCAAUAACUUCUGUCAAAGUUUUCUUCCCCUUCCAAGGUGAAAUCCUGGGCAAAUUGCAUAGACAUACACAGACUUUCAGAUGUUUAGAAAGAGCAGUGCUGAAGGUCCAGUCUCUCAACCAAUUUAAAUCACUUUUUCCUCUGCGAAUUCCUGGUGGCUUCAGGCUGGUGAACUGUAGAAAGGUGAACUGGGAGGGAUCGGGCUCUGCAUCUUCACCUUCUUCUGUCAUAGACUUUGUAUUAGGGUUCU